CAAAUUUUGAAGUUACUCAUUUUGAUGUGCCAUAAAUAGUGUAGAAGUGGACCACUAUGAGAGUGACAAUUAAGGUACUGUGCCCAGACUAAUUAUGUCCCUUGGUCUGUCAUCACUGUCAUUGGUGGGCAGAGAACAGAUGAAUGGAUUCCUGAUUCUUACUUGGAAUUGUUCAGUUAAGGGAUUAUAUAUUCUGAUCCUUUUUGCUUCUCGGUGUGAUCAUUUGACUAGAUCUGACCAAUGAAAGAAAUUGUCAAUGGAGCCUCUGCUUUUGUGAUCUGGCUUCUUCAGGCCCUGAGAGCUUCCUGCACUUC
rnacentral:lncRNA from 1 species